rnacentral:rRNA from 1 species
UUAAGUUAUUAAGGGCGCACGGUGGAUGCCUUGGCACUAGAAGCCGAUGAAGGACGUUACUAACGACGAUAUGCUUUGGGGAGCUGUAAGUAAGCUUUGAUCCAGAGAUUUCCGAAUGGGGAAACCCAGCAUGAGUUAUGUCAUGUUAUCGAUAUGUGAAUACAUAGCAUAUCAGAAGGCACACCCGGAGAACUGAAACAUCUUAGUACCCGGAGGAAGAGAAAGAAAAUUCGAUUCCCUUAGUAGCGGCGAGCGAAACGGGAAGAGCCCAAACCAACAAGCUUGCUUGUUGGGGUUGUAGGACACUCUAUACGGAGUUACAAAGGACGACAUUAGACGAAUCAUCUGGAAAGAUGAAUCAAAGAAGGUAAUAAUCCUGUAGUCGAAAAUGUUGUCUCUCUUGAGUGGAUCCUGAGUACGACGGAGCACGUGAAAUUCCGUCGGAAUCUGGGAGGACCAUCUCCUAAGGCUAAAUACUCUCUAGUGACCGAUAGUGAACCAGUACCGUGAGGGAAAGGUGAAAAGCACCCCGGAAGGGGAGUGAAAUAGAACCUGAAACCGUGUGCUUACAAGUAGUCAGAGCCCGUUAAUGGGUGAUGGCGUGCCUUUUGUAGAAUGAACCGGCGAGUUACGAUUUGAUGCAAGGUUAAGCAGUAAAUGUGGAGCCGUAGCGAAAGCGAGUCUGAAUAGGGCGUUUAGUAUUUGGUCGUAGACCCGAAACCAGGUGAUCUACCCUUGGUCAGGUUGAAGUUCAGGUAACACUGAAUGGAGGACCGAACCGACUUACGUUGAAAAGUGAGCGGAUGAACUGAGGGUAGCGGAGAAAUUCCAAUCGAACCUGGAGAUAGCUGGUUCUCUCCGAAAUAGCUUUAGGGCUAGCCUCAAGUGAUGAUUAUUGGAGGUAGAGCACUGUUUGGACGAGGGGCCCCUCUCGGGUUACCGAAUUCAGACAAACUCCGAAUGCCAAUUAAUUUAACUUGGGAGUCAGAACAUGGGUGAUAAGGUCCGUGUUCGAAAGGGAAACAGCCCAGACCACCAGCUAAGGUCCCAAAAUAUAUGUUAAGUGGAAAAGGAUGUGGCGUUGCCCAGACAACUAGGAUGUUGGCUUAGAAGCAGCCAUCAUUUAAAGAGUGCGUAAUAGCUCACUAGUCGAGUGACACUGCGCCGAAAAUGUACCGGGGCUAAACAUAUUACCGAAGCUGUGGAUUGUCCUUUGGACAAUGGUAGGAGAGCGUUCUAAGGGCGUUGAAGCAUGAUCGUAAGGACAUGUGGAGCGCUUAGAAGUGAGAAUGCCGGUGUGAGUAGCGAAAGACGGGUGAGAAUCCCGUCCACCGAUUGACUAAGGUUUCCAGAGGAAGGCUCGUCCGCUCUGGGUUAGUCGGGUCCUAAGCUGAGGCCGACAGGCGUAGGCGAUGGAUAACAGGUUGAUAUUCCUGUACCACCUAUAAUCGUUUUAAUCGAUGGGGGGACGCAGUAGGAUAGGCGAAGCGUGCGAUUGGAUUGCACGUCUAAGCAGUAAGGCUGAGUAUUAGGCAAAUCCGGUACUCGUUAAGGCUGAGCUGUGAUGGGGAGAAGACAUUGUGUCUUCGAGUCGUUGAUUUCACACUGCCGAGAAAAGCCUCUAGAUAGAAAAUAGGUGCCCGUACCGCAAACCGACACAGGUAGUCAAGAUGAGAAUUCUAAGGUGAGCGAGCGAACUCUCGUUAAGGAACUCGGCAAAAUGACCCCGUAACUUCGGGAGAAGGGGUGCUCUUUAGGGUUAACGCCCAGAAGAGCCGCAGUGAAUAGGCCCAAGCGACUGUUUAUCAAAAACACAGGUCUCUGCUAAACCGUAAGGUGAUGUAUAGGGGCUGACGCCUGCCCGGUGCUGGAAGGUUAAGAGGAGUGGUUAGCUUCUGCGAAGCUACGAAUCGAAGCCCCAGUAAACGGCGGCCGUAACUAUAACGGUCCUAAGGUAGCGAAAUUCCUUGUCGGGUAAGUUCCGACCCGCACGAAAGGCGUAACGAUUUGGGCACUGUCUCAACGAGAGACUCGGUGAAAUCAUAGUACCUGUGAAGAUGCAGGUUACCCGCGACAGGACGGAAAGACCCCGUGGAGCUUUACUGUAGCCUGAUAUUGAAAUUCGGCACAGCUUGUACAGGAUAGGUAGGAGCCUUUGAAACGUGAGCGCUAGCUUACGUGGAGGCGCUGGUGGGAUACUACCCUAGCUGUGUUGGCUUUCUAACCCGCACCACUUAUCGUGGUGGGAGACAGUGUCAGGCGGGCAGUUUGACUGGGGCGGUCGCCUCCUAAAAGGUAACGGAGGCGCUCAAAGGUUCCCUCAGAAUGGUUGGAAAUCAUUCAUAGAGUGUAAAGGCAU